GUUCCGGAACUUUGGUUCGGUGUUAAGUUAUGGACCGGAACUAAGAAAGUGAUAACUUUCUUAAAUAUUCCCCGAAUAAACAUAGCUAUGUACAUACGUACAUAUGUAUUUAGAAAAAGUUUAGUUCGCGGUCAUCUCUGGCGGACCGAAGAGAACUGGGAAAGGGCAGGCGUGUCAUCUGGUGCACAGCAGCAACUAAAACAACCGCAGCAACUACAGCAACAACAGAAGGAGCCCAGGAACAACAAGCAGAGGAGACAGCAGCGCCAACAAGAAUCUGGCAAUUGGACAAAGCCCGACCGGGCAUAAUCCAAUUGGACUGGCAAACAGAGCCCGCUCUCCCGUUGGAUUUCCCGACAGAAAGAGCAAAUGAAGUACUCGCGUUUUUGGCAAAAAAUCAAUUCUCCACGUGAUGGCCAAGUGCAGUUUUUUGGGGAUUUAUAUAGCGGGAAAGUUUUCCAUAUGAUCGACACCUCCACGCAUUUCUGACAUCGUUUUUUGUGCCGCUAAUUAUUGACAUAACAAAUGUGGUGGAGCUUCUACCACGCUCUCCACACAAACACACGCGCAAAUACGAUGAAUAUUCCGAUGACAGCACAUGCGAAAUUCUCUAAAACAAAAGGAACAACCGCGAGUUUGGGAGAGCUCGGGGUUUUCGCCGCUUUGCUGCCCGUUAAAUGUGGAAUCGAAGCACAACUUCUACCAUGAAAGAUGUGACAUCACGUUACUUCGCGCCUUGUAGUUCGACGACAACCCAUGCACACACGUUCCCAAACUCCUCUUUGGGUUCGACGCCACUCUGCAAGAAGUCCAAGCAUUUGGAUACCAUCCAAAGCUAGUCGUAAAAUUACGUGCUAUUAGGUUAAGGUUUAAGCUCAAG